GCGGUCAUAGUGUAGUGGUUAGCACUUGAGCCUUCCAAGCUCAUGACGCGGGUUCGAAUCCCGCUGACCGCACCA
rnacentral:tRNA from 1 species